ACCAUCAUCAAUUCGACGGUUCGGGCGUCUCCUUCUCCUCUCCCCACCCCUCUCCUCCGUCUCCGUUACCCAACCCCAACUCUCCCCAAGCAAACGAAGACGACGACGACGACGACGACCGCGCCACCGUGGCCGCGCGCGAUGGUGGAUGGAUAGGAAUUGUUCAGGGAGAUCGAGGAACAGCGCGCGCUGCCCCCGCGUCGGGCUACACGCGGCGGCGGACGGCGUGGGGCUCCUCUCUCGAUCGCUUUCGCCGGCCGACCGGCCGGCUUGGCCCUUCUGCUCCUGCCCUGCCUCCCCACUAAUUAAUCCGCGUUCCCCCCUCCCUCUUAAUUGAUCCGUCGAUUUCUCGUAUAUUGGUGUAAAAAAAGAGAAAAAGUAAAACAAGAUGGAGGAGAACGGUGUCCUCGUCGUAGUCAACGACGGGCGUCCGCCGCUCACCAGCCAUUGGAAACGCCACAUCCGGUGGCCACGAGUUCGCCACCGCCGGAUCUAGUGGCGGCGAGCUCGUGGCCGCCGAAUCCGGUGGUCCUGUGGCAGAAGAUGGUUGCUGACGACGGCGAGAAAGAAGUGGAGGCAGCAGCAGCGGCAAGGAAGGAGCGGAGGUAGCGGCGGUGGCAAUGGAGAGGUGAGAAGCGUUGGCAGUAGCGGAGCGGUGGCGCUCUUCUCGCCGGAUUUGGCGGCGGGCUUCGAGUGGCCAUAUCCGGCAUCGGGGAGCUUGUGGCUGACGGAGCUGGCGAGGCGAGUGGCGAUGUCGAUGACGACAGCCGUGCGCGGGGUGGAGGCGAAUGACGGUGGCCGUGCGCGGCGUGGAGGCGACGACGGCGGCCUUGCGCCGUGCAGAGGCGAUGACGACUCGGAAGGUACUGAGCGGGUAAAUGGUGGAAAAGAGGUGAUGAGAUGCGCGAUUCCCUCUCGCCUCCUGCACGCACGUGACCCCGUUCUACACGCGCUCGUCCCCGUGCCUGCACGCGCUCCACUCCGACGAGGAGGGAAGCUCGAUUCGGGCGUUUCCCUUUGGCCUGGUUGGGAAGGUGAUUUUGUAUGCGAUGAGCCAAGCCCUGGAGGCUAUGGCAGGUAUCCAAACAUCCCUCC